GGAAGUGGGUUCUCCAUCGGCCGAAGGGAACGGUCUUGAAAACCGUCGUGGCAGCGAUGUCACCGUGGGUUCAAAUCCCACCGCCUCCG
rnacentral:tRNA from 1 species